rnacentral:rRNA from 1 species
UACGUAGGGGGCGAGCGUUGUCCGGAAUUACUGGGCGUAAAGGGCGCGUAGGCGGCCUUCUAAGUCGAACGUGAAAUCCCUGGGCUCAACCCAGGAACUGCGUCCGAUACUGGGAGGCUUGAAUCCGGGAGAGGGAUGUGGAAUUCCAGGUGUAGCGGUGAAAUGCGUAGAUAUCUGGAGGAACACCGGUGGCGAAGGCGGCAUCCUGGACCGGUAUUGACGCUGAUGCGCGAAAGCCAGGGGAGCAAACGGG